CAUUUACUUGGAUACUGUGGUAUUCUAGAGCUAAUACAUGCAAACAGAACUCUAACCGGAAACGGAAGGAGUGCUUUUAUUAGAUUAAAACCAAUCGGUGGCGGGUGUGUGUAUUCAUACACGCGCCCGUUAUCGUACAAUUUGGUGACUCUGAAUAACUUUGUGCUGAUCGCACGGUCUCGCACCGGCGACAAAUCUUUCAAAUGACUGCCUUAUCAACUGUCGAUGGUAGGUUCUGCGCCUACCAUGGUUGUAACGGGUAACGGGGAAUCAGGGUUCGAUUCCGGAGAGGGAGCCUGAGAAACGGCUACCACAUCCAAGGAAGGCAGCAGGCGCGCAAAUUACCCACUCCCGGCACGGGGAGGUAGUGACGAAAAAUAACGAUACGGGACUCAUCCGAGGCCCCGUAAUCGGAAUGAGUACACUCUAAACAUUUUAACGAGGAUCAAUUGGAGGGAAAGUCUGGUGCCAGCAUCCGCGGUAACACCAGCUCCAAUAGCGUAUAUUAAAGUUGUUGCGGUUAAAAAGCUCGUAGUCGAAUCUGUGUCCCGCGCCGCCGGUUCAUCGUCCGCGGUGUUAACUAGCGUGUUGCGGGACGUCCUGCCGGUGGGCUAUUAGCGCUUUGGUCCUUCACCACUUCACAAGAGUGGGCGAAAGGCUGAGGUGACGCCCAACUAAAUCCUGCCGCGGUGCUCUUAACUGAGUGUCGAGGUGGGCCGGCACGUUUACUUUGAACAAAUUAGAGUGCUUAAAGCAGGCUAAAACUUCGCCUGAAUAUUGUGUGCAUGGAAUAAUGGAAUAGGACCUCGGUUCUAUUUUGUUGGUUUUCGGAAUCCCGAGGUAAUGAUUAAUAGGAACGGAUGGGGGCAUUCGUAUUGCGACGUUAGAGGUGAAAUUCUUGGAUCGUCGCAAGACGGACCGAAGCGAAAGCAUUUGCCAAAAACGUUUUCAUUGAUCAAGAACGAAAGUUAGAGGUUCGAAGGCGAUCAGAUACCGCCCUAGUUCUAACCAUAAACUAUGCCAGCUAGCGAUCCGUCGACGUUCCUCCGAUGACUCGACGGGCAGCUUCCGGGAAACCAAAGCUUUUGGGUUCCGGGGGAAGUAUGGUUGCAAAGCUGAAACUUAAAGGAAUUGACGGAAGGGCACCACCAGGACUGGAGCCUGCGGCUUAAUUUGACUCAACACGGGAAACCUCACCAGGCCCGGACACCGGAAGGAUUGACAGAUUGAGAGCUCUUUCUUGAUUCGGUGGGUGGUGGUGCAUGGCCGUUCUUCGUUGGUGGAGCGAUUUGUCUGGUUAAUUCCGAUAACGAACGAGACUCUAGCCUGCUAACUAGGCGUAUUUUGACAUCUUAAAGGCUCGCCGGUAUUAGGUAGUUGUGGGUAUGUAUGCGUUCGCGUGUACAUGCUCCGCUCCUUUUAUUGUGCGUGGUUUUUACUGUCAGCGUACAAACAAUUCUUCUUAGAGGGAUAGGCGGCUUCUAGCCGCACGAGAUUGAGCAAUAACAGGUCUGUAAUGCCCUUAGAUGUUCUGGGCCGCACGCGCGCUACACUGAAGGAAUCAACGUGUCCUCCCUGUCCGAAUGGACCGGGUAACCCGCUGAACCUCCUUCGUGCUAGGGAUUGGGGCUUGCAAUUAUUCCCCAUGAACGAGGAACUCCCAGUAAGCGCGAGUCAUAAGCUCGCGUGAUAC
rnacentral:rRNA from 1 species